rnacentral:rRNA from 1 species
CCUACGUGAGGCAGCAGUGAGGAAUAUUGGUCAAUGGACGAGAGUCUGAACCAGCCAAGUAGCGUGAAGGAUGACUGCCCUAUGGUUUGUAAACUUCUUUUAUAAAGGAAUAAAACGAGGCACGUGUGCCUUUUUGCAUGUACUUUAUGAAUAAGGAUCGGCUAACUCCGUGCCAGCAGCCGCGGUAAUACGGAGGAUACGAGCGUUAUCCGGAUUUAUUGGGUUUAAAGGGAGCGUAGAUGGGUUGUUAAGUCAGUUGUGAAAGUUUGCGGCUCAACCGUAAAAUUGCAAUUGAUACUGGCCGUCUUGAGUACAGUUGAGGUAGGCGGAAUUCGUGGUGUAGCGGUGAAAUGCUUAGAUAUCACGAAGAACCCCGAUUGCGAAGGCAGCUUACUAAACUGUGACUGACAUUGAUGCUCGAAAGUGUGGGUAUCAAACAGGAUUAGAUACCCUGGUAGUC